UACGUAGGGGGCAAGCGUUGUCCGGAUUUAUUGGGCGUAAAGAGCGUGUAGGCGGCUUUGCAAGUCCGUUGUGAAAACUCGAGCUCAACCUCGAGACGCCGGUGGAAACUGCAAAGCUAGAGUCCGGAAGAGGAGAGUGGAAUUCCGUGGUGUAGCGGUGAAAUGCGCAGAUAUCAGGAAGAACACCCGUGGCGAAGGCGGCUCUCUGGGACGGUACUGACGCUGAGACGCGAAAGCGUGGGGAGCGAACAGG
rnacentral:rRNA from 1 species